UACGUAGGGUGCGAGCGUUAAUCGGAAUUACUGGGCGUAAAGCGUGCGCAGGCGGUUUUGUAAGCCAGAUGUGAAAGCCCCGGGCUUAACCUGGGAAUGGCAUUUGGGACUGCAAGGCUUGAGUGCGGCAGAGGAGACUGGAAUUCCUGGUGUAGCAGUGAAAUGCGUAGAUAUCAGGAGGAAUACCGAUGGCGAAGGCAGUCCCCUGGGCCUGUACUGACGCUGAGGCGCGAAAGCUAGGGGAGCAAACGGG
rnacentral:rRNA from 1 species